CACAGUGUAGGCUGCAAAUCCUGAUCCCAGGGUCAAACCCUCGGAGCUUUAACCAGGCUGAGCAGUGGGUUUAGCCUGGGAAGGACCUGGUUAGACCUUCAGAGCUGGGCUUUACCUUCAGCUUAAGCUCCCGCACUGCUGAAAGCUCGGAGCAGUGGGUGGCCAGGAUGCCGGGUGUGCUCCACAAAACCAGGUAUCUGAUAUCCCAGCCCCCCAUUUGUUGAACCUUCCUCCAGCCCUCCUGCGGGAUCAAAGCAGCAGCAACAGCUCUGAGUGAUUUGUGUGCUCCCACACGAGUGACCCACUGACCCACACCGACCCCCACACCUCCCCCAGUGAAACAAAGGCUUCCAAAUAAAUCAGUUCAAGUUGGGUGUCUGGUCUGGAUCCCCCUCCCCAGCUGUGUAAGAGCUGACAGCCCUGCAGAGCAGCUCAGGGGCUUCUGGAGCUGCUCAUUUUCGCUCCCGUGGUGCAGAGACAGCAGCUCCUGGGGCUGCAGCUCCUGCCGGGUCUCAGCAUUCCCUGGAGGGCCA